AUACGUAGGUGGCGAGCGUUGUCCGGAAUUACUGGGCGUAAAGGGCGUGUAGGCGGUUUUUUAAGUCAGGCGUGAAAACCCGAGGCUUAACCACGGGAUUGCGUUUGAGACUGGAAGACUUGAGGAUCGGAGAGGGCAGUGGAAUUCCCAGUGUAGCGGUGAAAUGCGUAGAUAUUGGGAGGAACACCAGUGGCGAAGGCGGCUGCCUGGACGACACCUGACGCUGAGGCGCGAAAGCUAGGGGAGCAAACGGGAUUAGAUACUCCGGUAGUCCUAGCCGUAAACGAUGGGUACUAGGUGUGGGAGGUAUCGACCCCUUCCGUGCCGGAGUAAACACAAUAAGUACCCCGCCUGGGGAGUACGGCCGCAAGGUUGAA
rnacentral:rRNA from 1 species